GUGCUCACUUCAGUAGCACAUAUACUAAAACAGGAAUGACACAGAGAAGAUUAGCAUGGCUCCUGUGCAACAAUGACUCCAAAUUCAUAAAGCAUUCUACCUUUUC